AUGCCUCCUCCUGUCUUGAGCGAGGCGGGAAUAAAGGCUUCUCGGAUAGAGAGGUUGAAGGCUUCCCUUACUAACGGUGAAAUGCUCUCUAAGAAGGAUUUUAAAUAUGCAUUUGAAGUGUGUCGGGAGUUCGAAGCGGGUCAGAAAGCUCUUCAGCGGAAGAAGGGUGAUCGGGCCAAUGCUUUGAAAGCUCCCAAGGAGGUGGCGGCUGGUGCUCAACAAAAAUCUCAGGAAUCUCUACAACGAGAAGUAGAGAAGGAUACCGGAGGUGGUCUUGGAUUUAAGGAGUCGAAUGUAGACGUCUGA